rnacentral:lncRNA from 1 species
UUGAAUCCCACGACCACCACCACCAUACUGGACUCUGCUGCCACCGGCUCCUCUGAUGCAAAGACCGGGAAGACAGAACCCGCCCUCGUAACCAAACUGAUUCCCACCAGACCAUUUCUGGUCUAGAGAUCCAACUCCUAAGGUUAGUAUAAGUGUUAGUGAGAAGCAAAUGCAAAUAUAUUUGAGUUCUGUCAUUUUUUCUUUCUGGUGUUUAAUAGUUUGUAGGCUGAGAAGGAUCACUGUCCUUUAUAUAUACUUGUCAAUAUGGUGUCAUGCUUUUGUCAUUAGGUAGUACAAGGAGCCUGAAAAUAUGGGAAAUGGAAUGAGAAGUUGUUUUUGCAAGUAAAUGUGUUGUGGUAGCGUUUUGAGGGAGGAAAUUAAGGAUAUUGUUUGUUUGUAACACUGAGUUGUCUUCCGUGUUGUUUUUAUAAUUUACAUUUUAAACAAUUUUCAAAAUCAAUAUAGUUUUUGAGACAAUCUAUUUUCAAGUUGUGUAGAUGGUUUUGUGACUUGGUUGAACGAUUUUCAGAAUUGUUUCCGCAUGUUCUUCAUUUAGUUUUAAGAAGCAGAACUUAAGGGAGUCCUAACAGUAAAUUUCUGUCUUGAAACUUGCCAUUAAACUUGUCAUUUUUAAUUCCAAUGGAGCUUUUGACAAAAAAAAAAAAAAAAAAUGCUUGGUUCUUUCUACGGAUCAGUUGAAAUUGGUAGACCAGGGGCAAUGUGUUGUGCAUUUACUAAGUCACAUUCUCUCACAUUUUGUGGGUCAUAGAAUUAGAUUGGACGACCCUUAUUUCAUUAUCAUCUACCUGUUUACUUCAUCUACACGUGCAUGGUGGAUUUGAGAUUACAAUGUCGAAAGUGACUUGAGAAUCACAUCUACGUGAAGGUGAGAGCGGUCCUCUCCUAGCAAGCUGCCAGCUAAAAACUAUUUGUCGUCAUUUCAAUACUUUUUCAGUCAUUUUCUAAGACUAACAUUUUAGUCGUUCUCGAUUGGUUUAGGAUAAGCAUACAAUAAUUAAACCAUUAGAUCAAACGGUUAGUUUGCAACAAUUAGAAGAAAAAAAAGCGACUAAUUUUAUAAAUGCUUGAUCAAUUGUCAGUUCUUGAGUAUCCAAAGAUUUGUUAACUCUGUUAUUGAUCUCUGUUUCUUCUUACUGUUGUGAACAGGCAGAAGCUACAUGAUUCUUACUGUGUGGAAAAGGUGGAGAAGAAUAGCACAAACAGGUUCUUUUUUUGGAUCUUCACUAACUCUUUUCCUGAUGUGUAUAUUAUGAAUUUUGAUUAUAGAAUUUUGUGUGAAAGUUGAUAAUGACAUAUCUUGAAUGAUUGAAAUUUGUUCUUUGAGAAAAAAUAAAAUAAAAGAAUCAUGUGAAAGCAUUGAAAGCAGCAGGACUCUCUGUUAAACAGGCAAAGCUAUGGUGUGUUAGCUACUUUGGGGCCACACCUAUAGAACAAUUUGGUAAACGUUAGAAACUCUUGUUUUGUCAUCAACCUCUUUGUUUUAUCCAAAACUCAAUCGUUUGGAUCGAAAUUCGUUUGAAUGAGUAAAAUUCGUAAACAUUGUUGCUAGUCAAUGACUACGGAUUACUGAAUUGUUUACCUUCUUGAUUGCUCCUUUGUUGAAGAUGCAAAUCAGAACAUAUGUUCCCUUUUGUGUUAGAACAGAGUAUAUGUGGAAAAGGUAGAUAUUAUUAGCAUAGCUACAAUGAUUAACCACACGGAUAAGUUACAUGAACGGAGUUUGCUUUAAGCAAAAACAUAAUCCCGUUAAAGAAAGCAAAGCAUCCUCAAAUGAUGGUAAAUACACUACUUGUUCUUUUCUUUUUCAUUGAGACAAAAGAGAAACAUUGGGAUUGCAAUAGAAAUUAUUAAAAGAAGUAUGAGUCUUAUUUGGUUUUGCUCACCUUGCCUCUACUUUGAACACGACUAUUUGCAGUGGUUCUUGUUCUAGCCUUGAGCUCAGAUUCCUCUUCUUGGUCGCUGAAUUUCUCACAAGCUCUAUUCUUUGUCUGGUGAUUGACUUGUUUGGCAUUACUAUUCUUUGCAGCUGCUGCAUGAUUCUUGGUGUUUCUUGGAAGCUGAGUGCUAGGCCAUGAGGAUGCAUCAGAGGUCAUCGAGUCAUCGCUCCUAUUGUCACUACUAUCAUCAUCAUCGUCAUCAUCAUCACCACCAUCUUCACCAUCAUCUUUUACUCGGAAAUCCCCAUCGUCACCAUCUUCAUCAUAGUCUUGGUAGACAACAUCAGAGCGAUGAUGGUUACCAUGGAAAGUGUCUUCUAUGUACAUAGUCCAUCCUGAUUCACAACUAGUCUUCUCCUCAGUACCUCCAUGGAUUCUUGGAGACUCCAUUGCUAACACAAAAAGUUAACUUAGCCUUUUUUUCUUUUGUUUAACGUUACGUACCUCAAGCUUGUUCCAAUAUCCCUUUAGCCUCUGAUAUAGCCUCUGUGUCUCUCGCUGUCUUUGGCUUUGCUCUUCAUCAUCAAUAAAUACUGUCUGAUUUUUCUUUUCUUUUUUUUUUGCCUUUCUUGUGUUUCAGAAUCAGGAAAAGCCGGAGCCUAUUGAAUCACACUUAUAUAAUUGAAUACCAGGAGUGAGUAUCACCACAUGGCAAUUCUUGCACCAUUGUUUUCGCC